rnacentral:rRNA from 1 species
UACGAAGGGGGCUAGCGUUGCUCGGAAUCACUGGGCGUAAAGGGUGCGUAGGCGGGUUUUAAGUCAGGGUGAAAUCCUGGAGCUCAACUCCAGAACUGCCUUUGAUACUGAAGAUCUUGAGUCCGGGAGAGGUGAGUGGAACUGCGAGUGUAGAGGUGAAAUUCGUAGAUAUUCGCAAGAACACCAGUGGCGAAGGCGGCUCACUGGCCCGGUACUGACGCUGAGGUGCGAAAGCGUGGGGAGCAAACAGGG